GGGGAUUUAGCUCAGUGGUAGAGCGCUUGCCUAGCAAGCACAAGGCUCUGGGUUCGGUCCUCAGCUCCA
rnacentral:tRNA from 1 species